UACAGAGGUCUCAAGCGUUGUUCGGAUUCAUUGGGCGUAAAGGGUGCGUAGGCGGCGCGGUAAGUCGGGUGUGAAAUCUCGGAGCUUAACUCCGAAACUGCAUUCGAUACUGCCGUGCUUGAGGACUGGAGAGGAGAGUGGAAUUCCUGGUGUAGCGGUGAAAUGCGCAGAUAUCAGGAAGAACACCCGUGGCGAAGGCGGCUCUCUGGGACGGUACUGACGCUGAGACGCGAAAGCGUGGGGAGCGAACAGG
rnacentral:rRNA from 1 species